UACGUAGGGGGCGAGCGUUGUCCGGAAUCAUUGGGCGUAAAGCGCGUGUAGGCGGCCCGAUAAGUCCGCUGUGAAAGUCCAGGGCUCAACCCUGGAAUGCCGGUGGAUACUGUCGGGCUCGAGUCCGGAAGAGGCGAGUGGAAUUCCUGGUGUAGCGGUGAAAUGCGCAGAUAUCAGGAGGAACACCGAUGGCGAAGGCAGCUCGCUGGGACGGUACUGACGCUGAGACGCGAAAGCGUGGGGAGCAAACAGG
rnacentral:rRNA from 1 species